rnacentral:rRNA from 1 species
AGCUUUAAGCUUAUUACAUUUAAGGUAUAGUCUGCCCAGUGAUAAUAUUUAACGGCCGCAGUACUUUGACUGUGCUAAGGUAGCAUAAUAAAUUGACUUUUAAUUGAGGUCUAGAAUGAAAGGAAAAAUUGAGAAUAGCUGUCUCUUAAAAAUUUAACAAAACUUACUAAUUAGGUGAAAAUUCCUAAUUUUUUACAUAAGACGAGAAGACCCUAUGAAUUAUAAUUACACUAUGCUUUUGCUUAAUAAAUUUUUGUUGGGGCAACAACGUUGGAAUAUUAGCUAAUCAACGGAAAUAUAAAUAUAUUUAUCAAUUUUUUAUUAUAUAAAAAUAAUUACCUUAGGGAUAACAGCAUAAUUAUUAUUUUAGAUUGUGACCUCGAUGUUGGAUUAGGGACUCUUGUUAUUAGCCAUAAUCGGAGAUAAUUCUGUUCGAAUUUUUAACCCU